CGCGUAGGCGGGAUGGCAAGUCGGUCGUGAAAUCCUUCGGCUCAACCGAAGAACGUCGAUCGAUACUGCUGUUCUUGAGGGUUGCAGAGGAGACUGGAAUUCCCGGUGUAGCGGUGAAAUGUGUAGAGAUCGGGAGGAACACCGGUGGCGAAGGCGGGUCUCUGGGCAACUCCUGACGCUGAGGCGCGAAAGCGUGGGGAGCAAACGGGAUUAGAUACCCCGGUAGUCCACGCUGUAAGCGAUGACGACUAGGUGUGGGGGGGUUCAGUCCCUUCCGUGCCGCAGCUAACGCAUUAAGUCGUCCGCCUGGGGAGUACGGCCGCAAGGUUGAA
rnacentral:rRNA from 1 species